rnacentral:ncRNA from 2 species
ACUCUUCCUGGCGAUGAGGCUCGCCCAAACCGUCUUAACGACUGAUAGCCUCUACCGAAAC